CGGUCCAACUUUAAACCCUCCCCUCAACUCCUCUCUCUCUCUCUCUCUCUCUCUCUCUCUCUCUCAAUGGCAUCUCUUCUCCAAAAGCUCCUCAAAAGACUUCCCCCCAACCCUCCCCUUCGAAUCCUCGCAUCCUUUGCCAACCCCCAGCUCGCAAAUCCCCCGCUCCAUCCAUCCCUUCUCCACGACCCACUCCCCCGAACCAAUCCGAGCCCGAACCCUUCUUCCUUCCCUUCUCUUCCCGAUGGCUUCCGCCAAUCCCUCCAAUUUUACCCCGGCUUCCCCCAUUGUUUUGAUUUGAAUCCGGUCUCCCGAUCCGGAUUCGAUCGAUGCGAUGACGAGAGUGACAGCGAUCCAGGGGUUGGUGAGGAGGGAUGCGAUCGCACGGUGUGGGCCGACAGUGUGAAGAAGAAAAGGAAGAGGAAGAUGAACAAGCACAAGUACAAGAAGCUGCGGAAGAGACUUCGGCGCAAGAAAUCUUGAUCUGGAUGGGACUGCGUGAAGAGCUGAAAAUACUGAGUGCAACUAAAUCAAAUAGGAGGAAAUACAUGUGGAGAACAGAGUAGUGGAAAACAACUUAAAGCAGAAACACGUGCUUAUAGAUUUGUCGACAAUGGGGCUGAAGUGGGAGGGAGGCAACACUUUCUAGGGAAGGGUGUUGAAGAGAAACUACCAGUCUAGCCGAAUAGAAAGAACUUGGGUUCAAUUCUUUAUUCAGAAUGGUCUAGUCUCAUUUCGUGUUGUCAAAAAUGAUUUAUAAAUGACAAUGUGCAUUUGAUGUUUUUCCCUUGAUCGUGUUCCAUAUAAAUUGCAUUUUAUUUUAUACUUUGGUAAUUUGAAAAUUGAAUUUGAUCUGAUGUCCAUGCAAA